ensembl:rRNA 5S_rRNA 5S ribosomal RNA
UUUUAUAAUAAAAAAUAAAUAAAUAAAAAAAAUCUCGUCUGAUCUCGGAAGCUAAGCAGGGUCGGGCCUGGUUAGUACUUGGAUGGGUGACAGCCUGGGAAUACCAGGUGCUGUAAGCU